ensembl:piRNA 21ur-1361 ncRNA
UAAUCCUCUUGCAAUUUUAAC